AUACGUAGGUGGCAAGCGUUAUCCGGAUUUACUGGGCGUAAAGGGCGUGUAGGCGGUCUUGCAAGUCAGAAGUGAAAUUCCUGAGCUCAACUCGGGCGCUGCCUCUGAAACUGCAGGUCUUGAGUGCUGGAGGGGAUAGCGGUAUUCCUAGUGGAGCGGUAUAAUGCGCAGAUAUUAGGAAGAACACCGGUGGCGAAGGCGGCUAUCUGGACAGUAACUGACGCUGAGGCGCGAAAGCGUGGGGAGCAAACAGGAUUAGAUACCCUGGUAGUCCACGCUGUAAACGAUGAAUACUAGGUGUGGGGGGACUGACCCCCUCCGUGCCGCAGUUAACACAAUAAGUAUUCCACCUGGGGAGUACGAUCGCAAGAUUGAAACUCAAAGGAAUUGGCGGGG
rnacentral:rRNA from 1 species